rnacentral:rRNA from 1 species
GAAGUAAAAGUCGUAACAGGGUUUCCGUAGGUGAACUUGCNGGAAGGAUCAUUAACGUUUGUCUUUUGACAAAACCACUGUGAAUUGUACUGAGCCGGUGGGGUAACGUUCUACGUUUUAAAUGACUUAGGUCGGCCCCACUUGUGCAACCAAGUAUGUUGUUCUUUCAACACACUGUAUAGCCUGUAUUACUUUAUGCCAAGGUAUGAAGUGAAAACUAAACGUGACAACUUCUAACGGUGGAUCUCUUGGCUCGUGCAUCGAUGAAGAACGUAGCCAGUUGCGAUAAGUAGUGUGAAUUGCAGAAUUCAGUGAAUCAUCGAAUCUUUGAACGCAAAUUGCGCUCUCUGGAUAUCCAGGGAGCAUGCCUGUCUGAGCGUCGUUAAACAAUCUACACACAAUUUGUGUGGUAAGAUCAUUCAUGCAUUAAUGUGUGUUGAUCCAUGGAUUUGAACCGUGUGGUACACCUUUGUGUACUGCUUGGAAGGCUCAACUAGCUUCUGUCCUUCUCUGCAGUGUCACGAUGUGCGUAUAACGUGUUCUAUUUCGACUAGUCGAAAGUUUUUAAUUUUGACCUCAGAUCAGACAAGACCACCCGCUGAAUUUAAGCAUAUCAAUAAGCGGAGGA